GAAUUUUGGCCAAUGGGCGAAAGCCUGAUCCAGCAAUGCCGCGUGCAGGAUGAAGGCCUUCGGGUUGUACACUGCCUUUGUACGGAACGAAAAGCUUUGGGUGAAUACCAUGGAGUCAUGACGGUACCGUAAGAAUAAGCACCGGCUAACCACGCGCCACCAGCCGCGGUAAUACGUAGGGUGCAAGCGUUAAUCGGAAUUACUGGGCGUAAAGCGUGCGCAGACGGUUGUGUAAGACAGGGGUGAAAUCCCCGGGCUCAACCUGGGAACUGCCUUUGUGACUGGAAGGCUAGAGUACGGCAGAGGGGGGUGGAAUUCCGCGUGUAGCAGUGAAAUGCGUAGAUAUGCGGAGGAACACCGAUGGCGAAGGCAACCCCCUGGGCCUGUACUGACGCUCAUGCACGAAAGCGUGGGGAGCAAACA
rnacentral:rRNA from 1 species